rnacentral:misc_RNA from 1 species
GAUGAAGAACGUAGUAAAAUGCGAUACUUGGUGUGAAUUGCAGAAUCCCGUGAACCAUCGAGUUUUUGAACGCAAGUUGCGCCCGAAGCCUUUUGGCCGAGGGCACGUCUGCCUGGGCGUCACGCAUCGCGUCGCCCCCCACAAUUCUCCGUAAAGGGAACAUGUGUUUUGGGGGCGGAUAUUGGUCUCCCGUGCUCAUGGCGUGGUUGGCCGAAAUAGGAGUCCUUUCGAUGGACGCACGAACUAGUGGUGGUCGUAAAAACCCUCGUCUUUUGUUUCGUGCUGUUGGUCGCAAGGUAAACUCUUUAAAAACCCCAAUGUGUCGUCUCUUGACGACGCUUCGACCGCGACCCCAGGUCAGGCGGGACUACCCGCUGAGUUUAAGCAUAUCAAUAAGCGGAGGA